rnacentral:rRNA from 1 species
CCUACGGGAGGCAGCAGUGAGGAAUAUUGGUCAAUGGACGAGAGUCUGAACCAGCCAAGUCGCGUGAAGGAUGACUGCCCUAUGGGUUGUAAACUUCUUUUAUAUGGGAAUAAAAUGUUCCACGUGUGGGAUUUUGUAUGUACCAUAUGAAUAAGGAUCGGCUAACUCCGUGCCAGCAGCCGCGGUAAUACGGAGGAUCCGAGCGUUAUCCGGAUUUAUUGGGUGUAAAGGGAGCGUAGGUGGAUUGUUAAGUCAGUUGUGAAAGUUUGCGGCGCAACCGUCAAAUUGCAGUUGAAACUGGCAGUCUUGAGUACAGGAGAGGUGGGCGGAAUUCGUGGUGUAGCGGUGAAAUGCGUAGAUAUCAGGAAGAACACCGAUUGCGAAGGCAGUUCACUGGACUGCAACUGACGCUGAGGCUCGAAAGUGUGGGUAUCAAACAGGAUUAGAUACCCGAGUAGUC